GAGGUGUGGACCUCUGGGGAACCUACCUGUCAUGAACUGUUAGGGGCUCUAGGGAACCUGGACGCUUGGACCUGCAUGAUCUGACAGUGAGGAAUGACAGGCAGGCAAGCCCAGCGAGGUAGUGCAAGGCAGCAGCCUGAGGCUCAGGAGCAAGGACAGAGCUCACAGCUAACUCCUUACAUAAUUACUGGUGCCUCCGAACUUUACAGAGACGCAGGAGAAGGAGCCCACUGGAAGCUGAUUCAGCGGAGACAGGAGGAGGUCUCUAUGCAGACUUGGCCAAGACACAAAAACAGGAAGAUCGCAGGACCUAAUACCAGUUCUGGAGACCCUGGCUGCACGUCCACUUUCUAAGGGUUCAAGUUAGCUGUGCACUGCAAGCAAGCAGUCUCUCACAAAUGGAAAGAGGCCACGGCACCUAUACAUCCCAGAGAAACUAUGACACAGCUCAUUUCUCCUCCCUAGCAGGCACUCAUGCAAGCAAACACCCCUGCUGGCUGAUCUCGCACCCAUCCACAAGCCACUUGUCAUAAUUCAAGGACCCAAAACAAACAAGCCACCCCUGAGACCCAUUCUGGCUGCAAGCAGCACCCCAUUCCUGGGGGAAGGGCACUCUAUACCGCACCCCCCUCCUGGGAGGGGGUGUCUUUGCCAGAA
ensembl:antisense Gm27200 predicted gene 27200